UAAACGACUCUCGGCAACGGAUAUCUCGGCUCACGCAUCGAUGAAGAACGUAGCAAAAUGCGAUACUUGGUGUGAAUUGCAGAAUCCCGUGAACCAUCGAGUUUUUGAACGCAAGUUGCGCCCGAAGCCAUUCGGCCGAGGGCACGUCUGCUUGGGCGUCACGC
rnacentral:rRNA from 3 species